rnacentral:lncRNA from 1 species
GGGGACAGGGGCGAGCGGUCGUCAUGGCGCAGUACUCGAGGGGCUCCGCUGCCGUGGCAGUCAUCCGGCUCAGCAACCCGCCCGUCAACGCGCUGAGGUAACGCCGGCGCCCGCCAUUUCCUGCGGCGGCCGCUCCCGCCCGGCUCCGCCGCUCCUCGCCUGGGCAGGGGCCACGGGCAUGGGGCAGCAGCAGGGUCGGUGCUGGGGCUGGCCCUCCCGUGGUGAGCGGGGUGGGGGGUUCUCUGAUUGCCUUCCUUUUCCCCUCAUUCCCCGCCUCUCCCGGCCAGUGUGAGGCUCCUCCCGGUGCCGGGGCAGGCACCCCUGAGAGCCUCUGCCGAGGGACUUCAAACACCACUCGGGUACCUGCUUCAGAGAGCUUAGAUCUCCCUUGGCAAAAACCAUGCUGAACUUUUCCAUGACUUCUGCUCUUUGUUAUAAUAUCUAGAGUUUUGGGGUUUUUUUGAAGGAGAGUGUCAGGCUCACCAAUCUGUGCUUUCUGUCAUCUCCCCUGGAAGCUGUUCAAAAGCUUCGCGUAUUUCUCGUCGCUUUCCCAUCUUUAAGCAUCAAGAUGAUGCUUCCAGCUAAUAAUUGCACACAGCAGCGUUAGCAGUUCGGCUGUUUCACCCUGACGUUCCUUCAGAGCUCGUAGAUGAAAACCAGCUUUUCCUCACCCAUUUGCUAGUGUUGUCACCUGCCCCACAUGCUCCAUGUACCUACUUGGCAAGUCCCUGUGCUACCCAAGUGAGCACAGAGGUUAGGACAAAGGGCUUCAUAGGUAGCAGACAUGGUUCAACAAGAGCUGGCACCACCAGGAUUAAAUCAUGGUUAGAGGUUAUCCAAACCAAAGGCAGUUCAUUGGCCUUUUAAAAAUGAUUAAGGAUUUAACCUCUAAAUACUGAUCUUGGUCAAGAAAGAUCUUAAGCGAUUUCAAACAUGAGCCGGUGAAAAGACAAACACCAAUCUGUAGAAGCCUCUGAAAUUUUAGUUUUUCAUGUGCUUUGAAAAGGAGAUACGUGAUCUUUUGCUUAACAUAAUUCCUUGUAACAUGUAUUUUAGUUCCUUUAGUUCUGAGUGGCACAUAGAUCCUUUUUAAGCAGCUGUAGUUGAAGAGCUGUUCUGCAACAGUGACCAUAGUGUCUAUUCAGUGUGUAUUCACAAGCCAAAAAAAAUUCACUGCAGUUAUGCUCAACUUGUAAGCAGAAAGUUUGUUAAAGAGAAGCCGAAAGAGGCAACAGCAUGAACAGGAAAUGCAGCCUGCUCUUCUGUAGAAAGCUACAUUGCUCUGCUAUAACUGGCAAUGCUCACCCUCUUGUUGCAACACGUUUGAAAGUGGAAUAAGAUAAUUAUGAUGAGAAAACAAACUUGGAGUGACUUGAUGGGAUUGGAUGAACUGGACAUGUAGGACUCCCAGAACUGUAGGGUGCAAGAAAUUCCUUGGACCUCCUGUGCCCAAGACCACCCUAAGAAAACUUCCAGGAUUUGCCCACAAUAAACUUUCCAUCCUUACCAGGAAAAAAACAAAAUGCAGAGAUAAAGAAUCAUAGAAUCACUUAGGUUGGAAAAGACCUUUAAUAUCAUCAAGUCCAAUUGUUAAGAGUAACCUAAUAUGUGCUUAAGGAACCUUAACUCUGCCUCUUUUGAGAAAUCCUUCAGGGAACACAAAGUUGCCUUCUGCCUUCAAACAGCAACUGCACGCACCUGCACAUCAGCCUCUUCAGGACAGACCCCUGCCUCUAAUACCCUUUACUCUUCACUCCUCAGUGCCCUCACAGCAGGGUGCAGUUCUGACAGACCAAGGGUAACAGAUGGUGUGGUCCUGGUCCUGUCCCCCAGCCCCAGGAGACAGAAGGAAGACCCUGGCCGACUUUAGAACCAUUAAAAUGGCAGUUUCCAUUGAGUGCUGUAUCUUCACUCCCUCCCCAAAUGUAUUGUGAUGCCCACACUCUGCCAAGAGCCCCACAGCA